rnacentral:rRNA from 1 species
UACGAAGGGUGCUAGCGUUGUUCGGAAUUACUGGGCGUAAAGCGCACGUAGGCGGGGCGUUAAGUCAGGGGUGAAAUCCCAGAGCUCAACUCUGGAACUGCCUUUGAUACUGGCGACCUAGAGUUCGGAAGAGGUUAGUGGAAUUCCCAGUGUAGAGGUGAAAUUCGUAGAUAUUGGGAAGAACACCAGUGGCGAAGGCGGCUAACUGGUCCGAUACUGACGCUGAGGUGCGAAAGCGUGGGGAGCAAACAGG